GACGAACGCUGGCGGCGUGCUUAACACAUGCAAGUCGAGCGGUAAGGCCCUUUCGGGGGUACGACGAGCGGCGAACGGGUGAGUAACACGUGGGUGACCUGCCCUCAGCUCUGGGAUAAGCCCGGGAAACUGGGUCUAAUACUGGAUAUUACUCUGCGGUGCAUGCCGUGGGGUGGAAAGCCUUGUGCGGCUGGGGAUGGGCCCGCGGCCUAUCAGCUUGUUGGUGGGGUGAUGGCCACCAAGGCGACGACGGGUAGCCGGCCUGAGAGGGCGACCGGCCACACUGGGACUGAGACACGGCCCAGACUCCUACGGGAGGCAGCAGUGGGGAAUCUUGCGCAAUGGGCGAAAGCCUGACGCAGCGACGCCGCGUGAGGGAUGACGGCCU
rnacentral:rRNA from 1 species